GCUGUAGGAGUGUGCACUGCCUGAUAGAGUGACAGGGGCUGAGCUGGCAGCGGAGAGUGAGAAGGAGCCCUGAGCUGGUUGCUGGACCUCUAUUAGGAUAAGGCCCUUAGAUAAGGGUAAAGGUGAUGUAGGGCUGUGGGAAGUGACCCAGAGAAUUAGAGAAGUUGUAUGACAUAGUUAAAGGUACACAGCAGACAGCUAUUAUCUAUAGGGUGCCUGGGGUGAGACCCAGAGUAGUGGGUGAGCCUAGGUCCCUUCCCCCCAUUAGCCACUACAGGAAAGUGGCCCAGAUAUUGAGGCACUCCAGAGGGGGAACUGAACUAUAGAGGCCCAGUUGGAGAGCAGUAGCCAGGAAGCCCCAAGAGGACAAAGAUAUUACUUCAGGGAGGGAGCCCUAUGUCUGUGCUCUAGGAUAGAGCAGUGCCCAUCAGAGAGAAUGCAGGCAUGCACACUCAGCCAAAGGGACACUCAUGAGAGAUUUGCUGCCUUAUCAUACGGAGGUAUUCACCAGUGUGGGGGAGUGGGUCUGCAAUGGCACACCUGCAGAAGCCAAAGAAGCAAUGAAUGGAGACAGUACUGUGAGUGUGCUCACAGCUGUAAAUCACACAAUUUACACAUACACACCCCUUUCUUACUUGGGUUGCACACAGGUUCUGUGUAAAACGGGCCUUUCUCCCUCCCCACUGGUAUAAUCCCUGCUAUGGGAGAGGAUUACCCUAUAAAUCAAACAAUCUCCAUUUUGGAUCCCUCCAAGUCCCUCUCAGUGCAGCACAAUUGUUGAUACAAACAAGCCACAAAAAAGCAAGUAACUUUAAAUAAAACAGGGGAAGGGCAUAGAGCUGGCAAGUGCUGUUA